AGUCUGGGGUGAAAGGCAAGGUUACCUACCUGUCCUCUGGGCAAAAAGCGUCUUUCUUCACCGUCACACGAUGGAGGGGACCAAACAAUUCAAAGACUUGUCGCACCUCUUGCUGCACCAAAGAGUGGAGAAAACAUGUAAGAGCCGUCCCACCUGAGGCCGAUCACACUCACCUGGUGGCCGUCAGUCUGUGGCACUUUGAAGGGAAUGACAUCCACAUCCUGAAAGGUGUGGUCAGGUCAGAGUUCAAGCAAGGUCACCAGCGCUGCUAGUCAUUGGAAAUAUCUUCAAAUAAAGUGGUGGUGGUGUGUGUGGGGUGCCACCGAGCCCCCAGCGACUUGCCUGGGGGAACCCUGCAGCUGGUCCAGGCUCAGGUUCACUGAAGACAUCAAGCCACCUCAAGAAACCUGCUGGACCAGAAGUAACAUUAUUCUUCAUGGAUGCAGCCACACAACUGCAUCAUCAAUGAAUUAUUUGCAAUUAAUGAAAUUAGAAUUUGGGGAGAUUGUCUGAAUAGGCAUGUGGGGGCAGAGUCUAUGAUCAGUGAUGGGAAUAGAUGGGGAUAGGGAGCAUGGAAUGCAAAGGGUGAAAGCAUUCUAGAAUUUGGAGAGAUGUGAACUUGAUUGUAUGUAACAGAGUUUAGAUAAAUAUAGUGGAUUAUUAUAUCAGUUAGGGGGCAGCCUCUCAGUGUGAUACAUACUUCUCAUUGGCUUGGCUAACAAGGACCGUGACGCAAAGUGCUACAAAAUUUCAUUCAAAUAUUUUUGUAUGUAAACAUAGCAGAAAAGAAUGCAA